UGUGGCAAAACAAGGUCUGAUUUAGCCC
rnacentral:piRNA from 1 species